rnacentral:rRNA from 1 species
GACGAACGCUGGCGGCGUGCUUAAUACAUGCAAGUCGAACGGAGUGGCGAACGGGUGCGUAACACGUGGGUGACCUGCCCUGCACUUCGGGAUAAGCCUGGGAAACUGGGUCUAAUAACGGCUAGUGUGGGAUGGGGCCGGGGCCUAUCAGCGUGUUGGUGGGGUAAUGGCCUACCAGGGCGGCGACGGGUAGCCGGCCUGAGAGGGUGGACGGCCCCAUAGUGACUGGGACACGAGCCAGACGCCUACGGGGGGCAGCGGGGGGGCAUAUUGCGCAAUGGGCGGAGGGCGGAUGCAGGGACGCCGGGUGGGGGAUGACGGCUUUCGGGUUGUAACCUCCGUUCGCCAUCGACGCGGUAGAUGGCGAAGAAGCACCGGCUAACUACGUGCCAGCAGCCGCGGUAAUUC